GCCUGCUGAGAGUUUAGAAACAGGGGAGGAACAUGGGGGAUUGAGUUAGACUUAAGGAAGAAUUAAUUUCUGAGCCAGACACUGUAAGAGGUGACGCUGGGCUACAUCAAAAUUAACUGGGAAACUCUUUCUGAUGAACUGGUGUCUGUACAAUAGGAAGAGAUGGAAGACUAGAAAACAGGAAUUGCUCAGAAAGGAAUUGAGCUCUUUGGAUGGGAAACAAGAACUCCGAUGGAAUGCAGGAGGAAGGAUUGAGCAAGAGAGAAGGAAAGUGGCUGCCAACCUGUCCAAGUGGAGAAAAAGACCUUAAACACAACAGGGGACUUCAUGCGUCUCUAAAUGCUUUGGCAGGUUUCUUUGCCUACAUCAGCCUCACACUGGAAUGCAAGGAAAGAAUUAUAUCCUUUUCCCACUGCUGUGGUAUUUCAGCUGAAAUCAGCCUCAUCAAAGCAGCAACUAUGUACCAAGGGGUUGACAAAUAGAGGAAAUUUGUGAAGCUGGGCUUCUUGGCAAGUGUUUUGUCCUUGGAAAUUCUGUUCCUCUCAGCCUUCUGGGGGCUCGCUCUGUCACCCAGGUCGGAGUGUAAUGGUGUGAUCACAGCUCACUGCAGCCUCAACCUUCUGGGCUCAAGUGAUCCUUAUGCCUCAGCCUCCUGAGCAACUGGGACUACAGGCAUGUGCCACCAUGCCCAGGUAAUUUAUUGUUUUUUUGUCUGUUUGUUUGUUUGCUUGUAGAGACAGUGUCUUCCUAUGUUGCUCAGGCUGGUCUCAAACUCCUAAACUUGAGCGAUCUUCCCAUCUUGACCUCACAAAGUGCUGGGAUUACAGAUGUGAGCUGCUACACCCGGUCUGAACUUGGAAUUAAUUCCGUACUCUUAUCGCUGAAUAAAGGCAUUGAAAGUUAUGGUUACAAGUACAAAUAACUGUCUAGAAAGGGGGCAAACACUUCAUUACUAACCAUUCACAUCAUGGUUUAUUUAACAGGACUCAAAGGAGAUAGGAGAUUCCAGGAUAAAGAAUAUAUAUUAAUCACACUUUAGAGUACAGUGAAGACUUUCACAAGCAUUAUCUUGAUCCUUAGAGCAAUGCAGAGGGCCUUAUGAUUAUCACUCUCUUACAGGUAAGGGAAUCAGGACCCACAGAGGUUCAGUGACUUGCCCAAGAAUACACUGGUAGCUGUCGGCAGAGCUGGGACUUGAAUCCUAGGCCCCUGACCUCCAGUCCGAUGUCCUUUCCUAGGUGUGGAUGGUGGUGUGGGAGCUGUGAAGGUCCAGGGUUAUGUGUGGUGGGGAAGGGUGUCCAGAGGACCUGAGAGGACAAGCUGGGGAACUGCUUUGGGCCAACCCCACCUGCUGGGUUGAAGUCACAGUCAGGUGCCCCAAAUCUCACCUGUUGUCAAGGCCUCUUCCCACAGCUCUGGGUGAGAUGGAAAAAGAGGAAAAGAAAAUAGGUGGCAGUGAACUCCAGGCCAUCAGUCCACCCCCAAACCCAACCUUCCAUCCUGGUUCCUGGCUCCACUGGAGGGGCUUGUCCUGGAGAGCCAGCCCCACAGUCACUACGAGCUCAAGGUUUCCCUAUCAGAAGCAAGACUGCAGGGAGGAAGGCUAAAGUGUUCUCUGAAGCUGGACUCCUUUGGGAAUUCAGAGCUUUCCUGGCUCACCCCCCACGCACAGUGCACACGCACUUAGCAGUUUGUACACCAUGACCAGAGAUGCACAGAUCCAAGGCUGCCCAUCUAAGAACCUCAGCUGGAAAACCCAGGACCCAGAAUGAGUCUGGGUGACCACGCCUCACCCCUUUCCCUCAGACCUCUCUGGGAAGAACAAGAGACUGAGCAAGGCCACCCCCUGUCCUACCCCCAACUCAGAUCACGUCUCUAGUAUACAAUGUUAAAAUAAAUCACUGUUAAAAAAAUUACUGGGAGGAGGUUGGAUGCGGCAGCUCACGCCUGUAAUCCCAGCACUUUGGGAGGCCAAGGUGGGCAGAUCACCUGAGGUCUGGAGUUCGAGACCAGCCUGGCCAACGUGGUGAAACCCCGUCUCCACUAAAAAUACAAAAAUUAGCCAGGUGUAGUGGCAGCUGCCUGUAAUCUCAGCUACUCAGGAGGUUGAGGUAGGAGAAUCACUUGAACCAGGGAGGCAGAGAUUG
rnacentral:lncRNA from 1 species